rnacentral:lncRNA from 1 species
GUCUCUGUAAGUUGCAAAGCACUUGCCUGAAUGUCAAUGCUCCUGAGAAGUAGGCAAGGCAGGCCAGCAAGGUCACAUCACUCACCUGAGCUUCGCCUGCUGAUUAGUGGCCUGGCUGAGUCUGGUCUUUUGGCACCUUGUCCAGUGGCAUGUAGAAUAAUGAGACAUUCUCAGUUUGGAGUUACUGUGUCUAUACAAACUACAAGCUAACCUAGAAGAUACAUGGAUUUGUGGUCAGGCUUAAAAUAGCACCAGCAUAUUUCAAAACAGCUUACAAUUUACUUUCUCUGCUGGACAGGAAAGAUGACCUUUCUUUUCUUUGUGCUCGUAAGAACACCCAGCUGCAGGUUACAGCUGUGAGCAGAGAAUGGUGUCCUCUGGGUUUGUUCCAUUUUCAAACCUUCACAGAAGAAGGAAAAGCUUUUUAGUCAUUUGCAGAUGGUAACAAAUUGAACUCUGUGCCAAGCAUUUGCAGGGCACCUGAGCAAUUAUGACUUCCACAAGUUCUGAAAGGAGCUCCUCUCACAGAUCUUCCUGUUCCUUCCAUAUAAACCUGCGGCCAGCGAGGGCACUGGUUUUUCUAACCAAAGAAGCCAAGAUGCAGCUUACCCCUGUCCAGC